GAGCACAUACAUACUGGCAGAACCGUAGACAUCUGAUCCAGGGAGCUAGAGACUGUGUUUCGUUUGGCUAUAAACCUGGCCGGGUGCCUUCAUACCGUAUCGGAGUCUGUGGUCAUCGGGGGUUCUCUCGGGGUUUGCUGCAUCAGCGAUCUGCAGAGCCGGGGCAGCACAGAGGGAACGCACCCACACAACCGACUGUUAUCAACACAGAACAGAGCAGAGCACCAGACCCGUAACUUCUGACAACACUGGUGACCCCAACCGCUGAUCUGGUUUCCACCUUUGGCUCCCAAACAAAACAAAAGAAUCAUGGACGUUUAAUACCCUCAAAGUAUUUGCAUGGACCUGUAUUUAAAACUUAUUUUAGUUAAAUUUUAUAGUUAGUUGAAUUUUAUACGCUUUUCUUUUGUUAUGUUAUGUUAAUGGGAAGCAAUGGUUAUUAAAGUUUGUGCUUCUAAACAGUUAACAGAAGUGGAAUAGGUAUCACAAGCAAAUUAAAUCUAAAAAGAUCGGUAAAAAUUCUGUUAUUAACUCGUUUGCCAAAACUCAGCAAGGGAAAGCAAUACACCUUCUCACAGAAGAUUGUGAGCAUCUAUUUUAGCGGUUAAGCAUUUUAUUUAGAAUAAAAUAUUAGUAAUGCACCUCAACUGAAAAUGAAUGUCUAUUCAACAAUUGCAGAAGUAUAGCUUGUGUUAUAAAAGACUUGGUCCCUAUUACAUUGUCAAUAAACUAAGGUGAACUUUG